rnacentral:rRNA from 1 species
AAAUUGAAGAGUUUGAUCAUGGCUCAGAUUGAACGCUGGCGGCAGGCCUAACACAUGCAAGUCGAACGGUAACAGGAAGCAGCUUGCUGCUUCGCUGACGAGUGGCGGACGGGUGAGUAAUGUCUGGGAAACUGCCUGAUGGAGGGGGAUAACUACUGGAAACGGUGGCUAAUACCGCAUAACGUCGCAAGACCAAAGAGGGGGACCUUCGGGCCUCUUGCCAUCAGAUGUGCCCAGAUGGGAUUAGCUUGUUGGUGAGGUAACGGCUCACCAAGGCGACGAUCCCUAGCU